CCUACGGGAGGCUGCAGUGGGGAAUAUUGGACAAUGGGCGAAAGCCUGAUCCAGCCAUGCCGCGUGUGUGAAGAAGGCCUUCGGGUUGUAAAGCACUUUCAGUGGGGAAGAAAGCCUUGGGGCUAAUACCCUCGAGGAAGGACAUCACCCACAGAAGAAGCACCGGCUAACUCCGUGCCAGCAGCCGCGGUAAUACGGAGGGUGCGAGCGUUAAUCGGAAUUACUGGGCGUAAAGCGCGCGUAGGCGGUCUGAUAAGCCGGUUGUGAAAGCCCCGGGCUCAACCUGGGAACGGCAUCCGGAACUGUCAGGCUAGAGUGCAGGAGAGGAAGGUAGAAUUCCCGGUGUAGCGGUGAAAUGCGUAGAGAUCGGGAGGAAUACCAGUGGCGAAGGCGGCCUUCUGGACUGACACUGACGCUGAGGUGCGAAAGCGUGGGUAGCAAACAGGAUUAGAUACCCCUGUAGUC
rnacentral:rRNA from 1 species